GUUCCCGCCUGCCGUGGCGGGCGUUGGGCAGCAGCAUCUGCCGAAGGGAAAUGCUCGUUCCUUGAGGGUCUGCCGUGUCUGGGGGGCCGCGACUGCUGCACUCUGCCUCCUCGGGCGCUUCUCUGUCCUGAGUGAUGUAUUCAGAAGGAUCUAAUUGGCAGCCUGCUGAUGAGUUUACCUGGCCUCCCCAUGUCUCCAUGGCAUCAAGAUAUUAUCUAUGAAAAAACAGAUGUGAAAUGGGCUUCCUGACCUUCAUAAUUAAAUGGCUUCUCCUUAUAUGGCGGUACUUUCAACCACUUCACCCCUGAUCAAAUCCAGUGGUGAGAUACAAUUUCAUUUUGUCUGUAUAACAGCUCUUCUGGCAUCUGUGAGGAUUGCUUUGUAUUCUGUCACAAGAUUUUUUGCUUUUUCACCCUAUCUCCAGCAUCUUUACUGUAUUUGGGGAAAUAUCAUUGGCUUCAUCCUGCUCAACCACAUUUGCAGUGAAGAUUUCAGCAAGAAACUUCCACAUUGUAGGCAAGCAACCUGUAUGACUUAAGCUUAUAGUACCAAAUUCUUCCUUUGCCAUUUUUUUUUCAGUAAGUACAGUCCUUCCCUUGGCCAUGCAUCUUGGUACAUGCUUUCCUGAUGCUUUUGUUGUAGUAGCCUGAAUUAAGGGUGGCAGUUGCUAACCUCUUUUACCCAAUAGCUGUGGAUUCCAACUCCUGCUACUGUCGUUUUUUCAAUAACUUUUUGUAUGUGAUCUCAUCUUGACUUUGGUUACUCAGACCACUGAAUUUGCACUUCACUGUCUGCUUUGUCAGGAAACUGUUUGUGUGCCAUUCUUUUCUGUAAAUAACUUUUCCAGUGUUCUUUUUAGCCAUUGUCCAUAAUUUAGUUGUUUAUGAUUGUAAUGUCAUGUAUGUCUAAAUUAUUGUUAACUGUCUAAUAGCAUCCUAUCAGUCAUUUCCAAACAACAUAUGUGGCUUGUAAGAGUAGUAUUCUUCAGUAUAUUUCAUUCUAACUGUACUGACACAAUCUGUUUCAAGUUUUUAGCUUUUUAAGGGGGAAACUUUACACAGAGAAAAGGAAAAUUUUCUGCCACUUCAUUGUUAUUGAUUUAUUUUCUAUUUCCCCUUCUUUACCACAUCCAUCUAUCUUACCUUUUGUCUCAAAUGGAAGUUAGAUCUUCCAAAAUUUCUUUUAUUUUCUUUCCUUCCAUACUGUUAAGAUUUCACCUGGGUGCAACUUAUCACAUCAUUAACUGCUGUCCCUUCAAGGCAGUUCUUCACAUUUUCCGGCAACUUGCCCAAGGUGCUUCUUAGCCAACAAAACCCAUUGCAUAGACUACACACCCUCAGUUGUUUUAUCUGCCUACAUUAAGGUUGGCUGUUUUGGUUUUUUUUCAUAUUUGCUCCAUUUCUUGCUUUCAUUAUUUCUUUCUUGUUCACUAGAGGCUUCGUAUGUCAUUUGAGACUAGGUCUUUUUGGGAGACAACACUGUCCUUUGGUCUUGCUUGCACUGUAAUACGAGUUACAGUGGUGUCAGUGCUACCUGUCUACUCUUUUUGUGUUCUUCACAAGUUUUCUAAUUCUAUAGGAAAAAGAAUUUGAGUCUGUAAUAAAAACCUUAUUUGAUUAAACAGAUUAGCAAACACAGAGGUUUCUCUCGGCAGCUUUGUCAGUUUGUCUUUGGUCAAGUUACACAGUUUCUUCUGUGGCCAGAGAUGAUUUCUAAAUGAGCAGUUGUCUUUUGUCAUUCUGAUUAUCAGUAUAGCUCCUUUGGCUUCUCUUCAAUUUGGCCACGUAUUGUAUUGGUGUUUCUGCAGUGCCGCACUGGUGAUCUGGAAUGACCUCAAUAGCUCUGAGCUGCUAUGAGCUUGAGCACGUGCAUCAAUCUUCUUUGCAGAGAGACUCUGGGGAAUAUAUACACAGAAGAUUUGCAGUUGCAGAAAUAAGGUAUUUACGAUAAGAAAUAAGAAAAAGUAGAGUUUUUUGAAAAAAAAAUAAAUCUUUGUUUCUGGAGCAGUUAAAGCACUGAAAACUUUUUGGGGGCAGGAGGAAAGCUUCUUUUAUUACAGUUAUGUGUGUAAGAAAUAUUUGUAAUACUUUCUUAUCAUUUCAGGAAAAUGAAAAAUUAAGCACAUGUUACAACUGAUACCAAAAUCCAGUGAGGUGUAUGUGUGUGGUAAUUCUGACAAAGUAUUUUCCUCUUAACAAUUUGCAAUUAAAAAUGGAGCAGUCCAGCUUUUUAAUAUUAAAUUGACUGCACAUAUUUGUAUUAUGCCUUUUGUUUUCUCAUUCUUUUCAGUACAAAUUAAUUUUGAACUUACAGAGAGUCUGCUUGCUUGUAUAUUUUUCCACAUACAGUAUUAAAUUCCUCAUGUUUGAUUUACUGAGCCUUUGAAGCUGGUAUUUUAAACUCAGUUAUCCAAGUAAAAUUUGAAGUAUAAUUGCAACUCAAGAAAGAUAUUGGCUGACAGGAAUGUAAUAGUUAAGAUCAGACUAAAUCAACACCAAAGCACAAAUUUAAAUUCUAUUUCAGCCAAUAAAUAAUUUAGUAGAACAUUAGAGCUUGCUUUAUUAAUGGGAGUCCCAAGGACAAGUGGAGACAGACAUAAAUGCAAUUUGUUUAGGUUCCUGGUUGUCUUCCCCUAGCAGAUAGGCUUUUCUUUAGGUCUGAGAGAAUAAGUUAAGAUCAGGAACAUCAGCUGACAUUCCUAGGAUAUCUUGAUCCCUGUAUGAAGCUUGAAGUAAUACAAAUGCAUUGGUCAUUCUUUCUUGGUCUUGGGGUGCAAUUCAGAAGUCAUUUGUCAAAAUUAGGAUCAAAAUAGUAGACAGAUGCUUUGAGUUGUGUAUCAUAAACUGUUAUUGUGAGGACUGUUUUAUUUUGUUAUCUAUAAUGAUGUAAGACAAAGAGACAUGCAAAAUUACAAUGCAUGAGGUUCCUUCUGCUCUUUCUUUAAAAGAUUAUUUUGAAGAACAUGGCUUUUAAAUAUGCUGAAGAAAAAACACAAUUUUAUUGCUGCCAAAGACAGGGUACGGUAGCAGGCCUAGAUGACUUUUGGAACAACUGAUAAGAUCUCCAGAAAGAAGAACAUUUAUUCCAGUAAUAGAUCUGUGUCCUGGGGGAAAUACAGGUAAUGAAAGAGUCAGAAGAUUCCAAGCAUGUUUUAAGACAGAAAAAGUAAAAGUAGAUGUUCAUGUUGCCCCAAGAAAAAUUGCAAAAACCCCUUGAUCGAUCUGAAUUUUAAAUGAGACACCUUCCUUCAAGAAAGGCAUGAGGAGGAUGAAGCAAAGUAAAGGCUCUUCGGCCUUACUGCCAUCCCUGGGAAACACGUGGAACAAAUUCUCCUGGAGGCCAUUGCCAGUACACAAAGAACAAGAAGGCGAUCUGGAAUAGCCAACAGGGUUUUACCAAGAACACGGCACACCAGACGAGUCUAAUUGCGUUCUGAUGAGAAGUUUGCUGCAAUGGACAAAACAAGAGUAGUAGGAGUUGUGCACCUUGCCAUUAGCAAGGGCUUUAAAACAACAGAGGUGGAGGCAGCAAUGUAGGUGCUGUGUCAUGCUCCCCUUGGCAUGCCUUUUGCAGCCCCAUGUCCCUGGAGCUGGAGGCUUUGUGAGUCUUGGAACCCUAACCAUAAUCUUAAAACUAACAGUGAAAUUAAUGGUAGCUUAGUCCUUGCACUGACAUCCCCAGCAUCAUGGAUGGCCCAUGAGUAAGGUGUGGAGGAAGCAAUGUGUGCGCUAUUCUGCACUAUUGAUAAUAUAGGUGACUGAAAAAGAAGGGAAGAGCUAUUGUCAUUGAGAGUGACCAGGUCCACAGUGCAAAGCAAUGUACAAAACCCUGCUUAAGCAAACCUGACUUGAGGAGUUUGCUGUCUACAAGAUAAAAAGGAGAAAAAGUCACAUGUGGAGAACAGAGAUACAAUACAAAUUUCCUGAAUUCAGCCAUGAUGGGUAUUGUUCAUGUGGAAACUUAAUCAGUGACUUUAUGCAUAGCUAUAUGCAGCAGUUCAAAAUAUUCUGGUGGAGUAUCCCUUGGACCAUGCUGCUCUAAAUCCUGAGAUUUCCACCUUUAUUUGACCCUGCAUAAUUCCUUGUCUUUCUCAGACCAAUUUCUGGAACAGAUGUCCUGCCCUGGAUUCUUUGCCAGACCCCUGUGUGCUCCCUCCCAAAUGACUACCAAAGAGGAACUUGGGGAUAAUCCGUCUUUCUUUGGGUCAUUCAGGGUGUCACAAGUGCUGUAAUUCAGCUCAGAAAGUGCCUUUAUAAACUGCUUUGAUUUCCUACUUUUGCUGGUUCCUCAAACUUAAAGUAAAUAGACUUGAUUAAUUUCAAAUCUGCAAACCUUGACUGCACUGCUAGGAUUUUUUUUUCCAGUGUCUCUAUAAGGACUGCAGAUCCUCAGAUGCCCUCUGGAAAUCUCUGUACCCUUGACUCUGGGAAACAGAGCCUUACAGGGAGGGGACCCUCACUCAUAUCUUUCAAGUUCAAGGUUCUGCUCCCAGCUCACUGAGUGGCUUCAUUUGGUGAUUUUAUCUUACUUUACCUCAGUUGUCCCAACAGUAGCUGUCUUUACCUUAGAAGAAUUUUAAGGAUAGAUAAAUAAAUAUGAAUGUAGUCUGACAGUGACUGCAGUAAUCUGCUUAACAUAUUUCUCUUUCCCCCGUUUUUUUGCUUGGAUGUAAAUCUGCAAGGUGAAACCUCACUUAAAAUGGCACAGUGUGCUCCUGUUUCAUCAACACCUGCUUCUUAAGCAGAUAAGAAGAUGGCACGGUUCAAUCUUUUCUCCUUCUCCCAGAUGAUUGUUGCUCAAAAGACCCGUUCAGCAAAUAGUCUGUGUUCUCCCUCAAGGACCCCAGACGUAGCUGUUGAUAGUCCUCUUACAAUGAGCAAUUUAUCCCCUGUGCCACAUUUCCAGGCUCAGCCUUAGCCCCACCAGCCCCAAGUAUCUAGUUUUGAAAAGCAAUGUUUUGUGACUACAUUAAAGCUGCUGUUAGUUGCGAAUUUUAUUUCAUGCUUCUGGGAUUUGAAGGCUGGACUUUUCUCCAGUAGACAUUUCCAAAGUGUGAUUCUUUCUAUUUUUCACAAAACAAGUAUGUUGUAAAUUUGCUUGGAAAUUCAUUUUGAUGACUGUUUUCUUUGCUUCUAUUUCCUGCAGCAGUUGUGUGGUUGCAUGAACAUAAUUUUUAUUACUGAGUUCCUGAGAGCAGCGAAGUGUUUAAGCAUUUUCAGACUAACAAUCUUUUCUGUUGCUACAGAACAUUUGUAACAGGAAAAAUAACAGUGAACUCACAAAGUACUACGAUUUGUGUUGUCAAUGAAUUGUUACCUAACAAUUUGUGAAUUAACUCCUUGAGGUUUAUUAGUUCAAUCACAAAUGCACUCGCACAACUAUUUAUGGAUGAGCAGGAACAGAAAAAAUGGGCAGUUGCUUAACUAAAUUCAUACACAGGUCACUUUUUCAGUUUGAAAUGUAAUGCAAGAGCAGCUGUAGCUGUGCAGACCAAAGGUCCGUUUGGCUGAACAGCCCAUUUUGGAGAUGUGCUGUAACACAAGCUGGUAGAAGAAGGAGCACAAGCAGCUCCGGAGAGCCCCCGCCAACACCCAGCAGUCUGGGAUCCCGACAUUCUCUGGCUAGAAGUGUCUACCAUCCCUUCAUGAAUUUGCCCAUUUUUUGGGGAGUCCUGAUCUAUUAUAUCGUUAUAUGCAGCUAUAUAGACCUGAUAUAUCUAUUUAGAUAUUUUCCUGUAUGGAAACACGCAUAUGCCUUUGUGUGAUUUUCUCUACAAAUUAAAAAACAUGAUAAAACCUUAUGAUUACAGCAAGGUUUUAAGAGAACUUCUUAUUCACAGCUGUACUACUUUGAUAUACAUUGCAAUUGUAAAUAAGAGUGUGUAUGCCGUUAGAUCAGUUGGAAGAAUACAUUUAUUUUUGUUUUAAGAUAGAGAAAACAGAAAGAUAACAAAAUCCUUUUUGGUUAUUAUAAUACUCUUUGUGAAAGGAACUACUACCAAUAGAUGGCACUGCGGUUCUGUAACUCAGGUGUUAUUUAUGUCUGUGUGAUUGUGCAAUGCUACUUAUUUAUGCUGCUUAUUAAUUUUAGUCUUAUAUUGUGACUUCUUAGUGAAAUUCAUUUAAUUGGCUUAUUACUAUUGCAAAUACAUUGUUCCUGAGGCUGAAAUGUUUUAAGCUAUAUGUCCUUAUCUAGAGAGUAUCCCUUUUCCGUAGGAGAAUGGCCAUCCUUAGAAAAAGAGAAUGAUUGCAGUGUCUCCUAUUGGACCAGUUUACUGAGACAGUUAAGU